rnacentral:rRNA from 1 species
AUGAACGCUUGCGGCGUGCCUAAUACAUGCAAGUCGAGCGAACAGAUGAGGAGCUUGCUCCUCUGACGUUAGCGGCGGACGGGUGAGUAACACGUGGAUAACCUACCUAUAAGACUGGGAUAACUUCGGGAAACCGGAGCUAAUACCGGAUAAUAUAUUGAACCGCAUGGUUCAAUAGUGAAAGACGGUUUUGCUGUCACUUAUAGAUGGAUCCGCGCCGCAUUAGCUAGUUGGUAAGGUAACGGCUUACCAAGGCGACGAUGCGUAGCCGACCUGAGAGGGUGAUCGGCCACACUGGAACUGAGACACGGUCCAGACUCCUACGGGAGGCAGCAGUAGGGAAUCUUCCGCAAUGGGCGAAAGCCUGACGGAGCAACGCCGCGUGAGUGAUGAAGGUCUUCGGAUCGUAAAACUCUGUUAUUAGGGAAGAACAAAUGUGUAAGUAACUAUGCACGUCUUGACGGUACCUAAUCAGAAAGCCACGGCUAACUACGUG